rnacentral:lncRNA from 1 species
GACUCUCUCGCUCGGUGUCCUAGAGGUCCUUAGUGUGGACUGGCCACUUGGGUGGCCCAACCUUGCGUGCCCUGGAGUAGGCAGAGGUGAAGAGGGGCUACGAGUGGCUCCGCCGGCAGCCUUCAGACAUCGGUGACCUUGUGGGCUCCCACGCAGAGGGUCUGGAGACAUGGCCAGAAAGGCUCUCAAGCUUGCUUCAUGGACCAGCGUGGCUCUUGCUGCCUCCGGUGUCUACCUCUACAGUAACAACUACUUGGACCCUAAUGACUUUGGCGCUGUCAGGGUGGGCAGAGCUGUUGCUACGGUUGGUUUUUUUCCUUUGGGGAUAGCAGAGGAUUUACAGCAUUACCUGUAGGUGUUCCAUAGGUGUGGCAGGUGGGCGUGCUCACAUAUAUCGAAAUGCAGGCAUGUCAGCUCUGUCUAUAGUGUGCAUCCUCGCAGACCUUCACUCCUGUGCAUGCAAACUCAGCUACUCUGCAGUUGAACACAGGAUUGUACGAGAUCUCUGCUCUGAAGCUGGUACAUCAAGGCUCCAUGUCUUACUAUAGCGAUGACUCAGAGGGGCAGGCUCCUUGGAAAACAAGGACAGAAGACUCUGUGGAAAGAGGACUUUAGCAGUUCAGUUCUGCCUGCUAUCUCUCAGCUUCCUGUUUGCUAUGAUGUGAAGUCCUUGGGAGGCCUCCUUACCACAGAUUCCCACCACCCUAGUGUUCUUGCAAGAAUGUGGGGCCAAGCGAACUCUGACUGAACACUCUGAAAUCAUGACUCAGAAGGAAUCCUUUUUAGAAAAAAACUUCUGUCAGCAAACUUGAUCUCGCUCUGAAGAACUAAUCUGAGGAGUUCUGGAUUUGGCAUUUAUAUCUGCAUUGUCUGGGGCUGGGAGAACAUUAUCCAUCUCCAAGCAGAGAAUCUGAUUUGAAUAUUUGACUUUAGAUGUUUUCUCUGGUAGCUCAAUAGCAAUAUCAUCUGGUGUUAUCAUGUCUUUUUAGAAAAAAAUUUAGACUUAUAUAUACUAUUUUGUGUCUGUGAAUGUUCUGUCUGCAUGUCUGUCUGUCUGUCUGUAUGCAUGGGUACCAUGUGUAUGCCUGCUGCCUUUGGAGGUCAGAAAAGGAUGUCAGAUACACUGGAACUGGAGUUACAGAUGGUCAUGAGCCACAAGAUGCUGGGAAUGGAACCAGGUUCUCUGCAAGUGCUGUAAGAAAAUGUAACCACUGACCACCUCUCUCUCUCUAGCACACAUCCCUUUCCCUUCCUCCUCUUCUUCCUCCUCUUCUUCCUCCUCUUCUUCCUCCUCCUCUUCCUCCUCCUCCUCUUCCUCCUCUUCUUCAUCCUCCUCUUCCUCCUCAUCUUCUUCCUCCUCUUCUCCCCCCUCCUCUUCUCCCUCCUCCUCCUCUUCUCCUUCCUCCUCCUCUUCCUCCUCUUUCUUUUCUUCUUCCUCUUCCUCCUCCUCUUUCUCUUCUUCCUCCUCCUCUUCUUGUUUUUUUGAGACAGGGUUUUUCUGUGCAGCACUGGCUGUCCUAGAAGUCACUCUAGAGAGUAGGCUGACCCCUAAGUCUCAGAGAUCCACCUGCCUCUGCCUCUAAGGUGGUGGGACUAAAGAUGUGUGCCACCACGGCCCGGCUCAUCAUGGAUUCUUAACUCUGCUGGUAGCUCCUCUCCCAGAUGUGGCUCUAUGAUCUUUGUUGUCAGCUGUGUGUGUCAUGCUUUCUCUCCUUUAUUGCUGCUGCUGAGCUUAGAUAACAGUUGCUGUUGUCCCCCUUCCCCAAGCUCCAUGGUGAUAUGCACCCUGAUAUAGCUCGUUUGGUUUAUUUCCUCAGGAUUUAGUGUCAUCAAGUGUUCUCAAAGGGAGGCCACUGACAUGGUGCCUGUCCUCAACGGUAAACUGAGUUAAAGAGUCAGAUAGGGAAAGGGGCUUUAUAAAAACAGGCAGUGGGAUAUGAAACCACUUCUGUUUACCAAGUGCAUUUUGGAGCCUAUUGUUUUCUUUUAUGUGUUGAGGGGUAAAGACAGACUGUUUCAUCUAGACCCAGCUUUGAAGGAGCCACAGGUCAUGGAGUCCACACAUGUUUUCAAAAACAGUCUAAAGCCAGGCACAUGUCAGGACUGCUGCCCUGGUCAGAUGCAGGAGUGAACACUGGGGCCUGGGAGUCAGGAGGAGUAUCCUAAGGAGGCAGGAUUUGAGUGGAACCUUAAGGUUAAAUAGCCAGAAGGAGGCAGGAAAUUGUCCCUGGGCACUUUUAUAAAUCAGUCACUAAGCUGUGCAAUUCUUUUCUUUUCCUGUCUGAGGACAGUUUUAUUAGAGUUUAAAGGGAAAAUUUCGGGUCAGGCCAGUUGUCAUUCCCAGUGGCUGCCCAGAAGAGGGAGACAGAGAAGAGAAAGACAAACCCAUGCUGUUUGAGUUAAGCUGGUGCAGAGGCAGCCACAGGGCAGACAAGCAGCCACAUGGUGUGAAUGGCACAUUUAAUAGAGAGUGAACAAGCCAGGUUAGGCAGUGAUUGUGCUCACCUUUAUCCCAGCACUCAGGUGGCAGAAGGAGGCAGAUCUAUGUGAGUUCUAGGCCAGCCUGGUCUACAAAGAGAGUUCCAGGACAGGACAGCCUGGGCUACACACAGAAACAAUGAAAACCAAAGUGGUGUGUGUGUGUGUGUGAGAGAGAGAGAGAGAGGGGGUGGGGAGAGGGGCAGAGAGAGAGAGAGAGAGAGGGAGGGAGAGAGAGGGGCAGGGGUGGGGGACAUACUUAGGCUCUGGCUACCAUCCAAAGAAAAAGACAGUAGAUAAGAAGGGGAAGUAUUGAGUUUUCGCCCAGGCAAACCAACAGUGAAUUGUCCAUUCUCUGAUGGCCUCUGGUCCUGGUUAUCCUGGUUCGACACUCAGUGAGCAAACCUUGCUGAUAGGUUGUGGUCAGCACUUACAGGUGGACUGCAAUUAGGCUUUGUGAGUGUACAGACAAACACUUUUGAAUAUAAAUCUCAGAACUUAGUGUCUAAGGUUCUUAGUUGCUCAGCUUUGAAAAGCUUGACAUUUGUUGGAAACCUGCGAUUGUCUGAUUGACUGUGGAUAAAGGCCUCCCUCACUGGAAGGUUUUGGCCAGAAGAUUUAGAGUGGAAAUUCAAGUCUAACAGCAUUCAUUUCUUGAAUGUCUACCUGUAUAGUGUAAAAUAGGCUGGGGAUCAGUAAUAAGCAGUAAGACCCAGCCCUUGAAUUCAGACAGUUC